UUCUAAUAAACAGAAAAAGGUGACUCCUCCACCUAUCCUCUCUCCCCAAUUCCACAUUGCAACAUUAGGGUCCUAGGCUUCCAGCACAGGGCGUCGGUUCGAGCUCCAAUAUCCUCGCGUCGCUCCGGUGGCGUUCUAGCAGACGGACCAUCUCCGGCGUCCGGCGGCCUCGGCCAUCUCCUGAGCCCUCUGACGGCUAGAAAUAAAGGGCGCGCUCGUCUUCGCCGCCUCUUCAUCUCCGGUGUCUGGCAGGCUUGGCCAUCUCCGACGUCCGCUUCGAGCUCGAAGCUUGCGUCGCUUCGGUGCUGGUGGAUCGACGCGGCGAGGGGAUCUAUCCGGGGGUUUGGAUCGGGUUCUUCUCCAUCUCCAUGUUCAUCUGGUCAUCAACUUCAAAAACCUCUGGGUCCAUAAGUAGCUCAUCUUCCACUAGCUUGCAUUCAGAGGACAUUGUGGAAAAAGGUUCUUGUACUUCUGCCAGGCAUAGAACGAAACGAGGUCACGCCAAAUGCAAGAAGCUAGAAAAAGGAGGUCCCCGUCGUCUUACGUUUGAUAAAAAUGGGAUUGCCCAGUCACCGGUAAAACAUGUCAAUGAAUUCUCAAGCUAUUAUGGUUAUAUAGCACACAUGCGUGUUGAUAUUAGGAUAAAGGAUUGGCGAAAAGUGCCUAAAGUGGUAAAAGCAAACCUAUGGGAGGAUGUGUCAAAGAAAUUUGUCAUGCCAAGGGAGGAAACCCAUACCCUCAAUGUGAAGAAGGUCGCUUUGAAAUCUAUGAGCCAUGCAUGGAAGGAUUUCAAGUGGAAACUAAAUAUAAAUUAUGUCAAGAAGGACAAAACUCCAUUUGAGGACUAUCCAGAACUCAAGAAAGAGUGGUGGCCAAACUUUGUGGAGUGGGUUACCUCUGAUGACUAUAUUGCUCUUGGAGAAAAGGGCAAGAAAAGCCAAAGCAUGAAUCCGUCAAAAACUAGGUCGCCAAAGCUAUACUGUACAAAAGAGAAAAUGGGCAAAGGAAGAUGCACAAGCAUUAACUGAGGGUAAAUCUAUUCCAUUUCAAGACAUGCCAGAUGGCCAUCAUAAGGAUUGGGCAAGUGCGAGGAAUCCUUCUGGCGACGUGAAGAUAACAGAGUCGCAUCCAAUCAUAAAGAAAAUUGUAGAUCUAAAUGAAAAGUCAGUAGCUGGUACCUUUACACCAUUGGAUAAUAUGGACAUACUUGCAACAACAAUAGGGAGUAAUCAUCCAGGAAGGACAACAGGGGAGGCGAUGAAAUGCAAGUUGGUGGCGCAGAUAGGUCUGCAUUCUGUUGUGGUCGCUAGAGGGCAGGCUUACCCUCCAAAGGAUGUUGUAACUGUCCAUGGGAUUGAGCGGCGAGAUGACCACACAAAAUGCAGGUUGAUUUUGUGUUUGAAAACUUCUUGGAUUUUCCGCUCCCUAAACCAAUCGCUGGUGGUGAUAUGUUCACUCUUGGGGAAGCCAAAAAUUCAUUUGUGUUAUGGCCUAAGUCAGGCAUACAACUAGCAGAGGAAACAACAGUUCAUGCAAAGCCUCAACAAGUCCCACACACAUCGCCUCAGGUACUUCAUCACACACCUGAAAAGGAUAAAAUGCCAACACCAACAAUGGGUACCGAGGAUAUAGAUGUCACACAUAGUGCCUCCAAUGUCAGCAAGAAGAGGAAACAUAAGCAUAAAAAACAUAACAAAAGCAAAGAGAAAGAGCAAAAAAAUUCACAACAGAAAAACAUAGAAGAUGAUGGUCUUGAUCCCCUUUGGACUCACCCCUUUCAUCAAUGAUCUCCACCACAAGUUCCAAAUAAUAAACAAUUUGUGCUAGGGCAGCCUUUAGUAUCUAGUGCAUUGCUUAAUAGGAUGGGUAAACAGAGCCAAUGUUUCCACAAAUGGUAUUUUUCUAUGACCACACCAAUAUCUCGAAGGCAAAGUGCCACACACUUCAUGGUACGAUACAAAGAACACGAUUUUCUUGAAAAUUCUGGGGUCUAUGCAGUAGAAUUCAGUGAUUUAUUUCACAUCUACAAUGAUCUUGCCCUUGACAUAUCCUUACAUCGGAGUUGGAUGCUGUGAGUGAGCUCCACCAUUUCCUAUAAGUGUCUACUUUUUAUUCUUUAUCUAACUUAUUCUUUUAAUAGAUGCAUGAAGAAGAUAGACAAAUACAGAGGCAUAGUUGGCUUUUUAGAUCCAGAGAUGGUCAUUUUAAAGAGAAUCAAUGAAGAGGCUGAUGAAGUCAAAGCAUACAUUGUGAAAGCAUUGCUUGCUCAGCAGGACAAAGAGUGCAUAUUUGUUGUUUGCCAGGAAGGUUACCAUUGGGCCUUGUUAGUUAUUUUUCUAAAAUGGAAUACAGUGUACAAUAUUGACUCCAAAGGUUACCAAUCCCCUAGCUGCUAUAGUAUUAAGAAGCUAUUCGAUGAGGCUUUUGGUGCUUAUGUCGACAAAAAAGGUCGCCAUAACAAGAAUUUUGGUCGCACAGUUAUAUGGAAACAUUUUCAGGCACACAUACAACCACCUGGCAGUAUGCUUUGCGGACAAUAUGAUGUACCACAUGUUAUCCUUUGCGGAUAAUCUUAGUUUGGACCGUGAUCGAUAUCCCCAGGGCCGUGUUGGUUUUGUAACCUGUCCAUUAUUGCCUGAUGAGAUAGCAAAUGCCCGAGAACGGUUGCCCGACUUCUUCAUGAAUGAGGUCAUAGACAUUGGUGGAUCAUGCAGGGUUGAGGGUGCUUCAUAUAACUAAAUCUAGCAUGGCUUCCUAGGAAAAGAUGGAAUGGCCGCACCAGUGUGGAGACUUGAUUUCAUAUAUAUUUAGUUAGGCACAACGAUAGCGCAAACAAUUGAUUACCAAGUUUGUCAAUUAGUAUUUUAGUUUGGAUAUAGAGUACGCUUAUGCAUGAGCUAUUUGACAAUGCAUAUUUAUGAGAUAUAUAAUAGUAAUUAAGAAUGAUAUCAUCCUACUUUCAUAUAUUUGAUGGACAUCUGAUAUGCAUCUAGUUUUUUUCUCCAAGUUUCAGCAUGUAGUACAUAGGGCUAGGUGUCGAUCCGGAUUGUGUCGCCCGACGACGUGGGGAUGUCGUUUGAGAGGGCCUAUGAGGUGAUCUUCGAGGAGGAGGAAGAUGAUGGACAGACAACGAGGAUACGCCCCGAGGUAUGUACCGACAGGUAUGUACUGUCUUUUCUAUGCACAUGCACUGCGAUUUCUAUAUUGUGUUGGUUUGCUAGUUUGCUACAUCCCUCUACAGAGAUCCUUGCUUUCAGCACUUUAAAAUCACAUUUUACUUUGUGUUAUUUUCUUGAGAACGUGUUUCAUUUGUAGUACUUAUGGAGCCUGACAGGCUCCAGUUUACCUGCAGCAUUUGAAAUUUUCAUGCCUGCUAACCAAAUAAGAACUUUGAAGUCCAGAUUGCUAUGUUCAUGUUACCUUCCACCUAUUUCUUCUGUCCAAACCGACUGAAAGAAGAAGAAAACCCAGCAUGUGAAGAAAUACCUUGUCACGGAUAUUCAUACUCAUCGCUGGAAUUUCUGAUAUGAAAAUUGUAUGGUAGUUCCUAGAAAUUGCUAUAUAAUCUGCUGCUCCGACCUGAGAAAUUAGUAUAGGGGUGAUCGAUGUAUUAGCGAAAGAGCUACUAUGCUCUCAGAUAUACUAAAAAGGAACUACUGUUGAGAAAUUUAAGUUUAUGUAUUUGACUACUAUCAGCUAUAGUGCAAGUAAUAAUAUAAGCUAUUCUGCAGUAAUAAAUUUUUCUUUCCAUCUAACUUGAACUGCAGACAGAUAUGAAAUGAGGUUGAGAUAUUACAAGGGCAGCUUCGAUACCAUCAACGUGCUGCUUGGAGCUUUUUGCUAUGUCUAGUUUUCUCCUAUUUGUUGUACAAGAAAACAUAGAAUGGAAUUCAAAUUUGGUGGUCGCAAAAGUGUGGAGACUUUAAUUCAUAUAAAGUUAGGCUUAACAUUAGUACAAACAGUUGUAUUUUAGUUUAGAUUUAGAGUACACUUAUGUAUGCGUUGUUUGACAAUGCGUAUUUAUGAUAUAUUGAAUGGUAUUUAUUUA